GACGAACGCUGGCGGCGUGCUUAACACAUGCAAGUCGAACGGAAAGGCCCUGCUUUUGUGGGGUGCUCGAGUGGCGAACGGGUGAGUAACACGUGAGUAACCUGCCCUUGACUUUGGGAUAACUUCAGGAAACUGGGGCUAAUACCGGAUAGGAGCUCCUGCUGCUUGGUGGGGGUUGGACAGUUUCGGCGGUUGGGGAUGGACUCGCGGCUUAUCAGCUUGUUGGUGGGGUAGUGGCUUACCAAGGCUUUGACGGGUAGCCGGCCUGAGAGGGUGACCGGCCACAUUGGGACUGAGAUACGGCCCAGACUCCUACGGGAGGCAGCAGUGGGGAAUAUUGCACAAUGGGCGGAAGCCUGAUGCAGCAACGCCGCGUGCGGGAUGACGGCCUUCGGGUUGUAAACCGCUUUCGCCUGUGACGAAGCGUGAGUGACGGUAAUGGGUAAAGAAGCACCGGCUAACUACGUG
rnacentral:rRNA from 1 species